rnacentral:misc_RNA from 1 species
CUGGUGCCAAACCAACACAAGCUCUCAUUAUAUUCUCAAGCAUUGCCCUCUGCUUUGAAAGGGCAUUCACCACUGGAGUACCUGGUGGUACCAGGGGAGCCUUGGUGAGGUAGCUGAGAAUAGUAGCCACAGGGUGGAAGGAGUGGAACUUCCCCUCCCCUUCAGCUUUGAGCUGAAUGCGAGUGCUGAGUUCAGCGAGAAGGACCAAAUCCAAGAUAAUUGGAGCUGCCAAAAGAGAGUCCUCACAAGUGUUGUGCAUAACUAUAGUGCUCUUUCCGCCCAUGAAAAUCUCUGACAUGUACUCAUCCAUUGCCCUCUUGCUGUCUCCAACAUAUGGAACAUACUUGAUCACGACAACAUGGUCAGGGUGCUCGCCAGAUUCAUAGAG